GGCCCGUUGGCAGAAAAGUUAUGCAGCAGAUUGCAAAUCUGUGGAUUCCGGUGCGAGUCCGGAGCGGGCCUCCA
rnacentral:tRNA from 1 species